UACGUAGGGCGCAAGCGUUAUCCGGAAUUAUUGGGCGUAAAGAGCUCGUAGGCGGUCUGUCGCGUCGGAUGUGAAAAUCCAGGGCUCAACCCUGGACCUGCAUUCGAUACGGGCAGACUAGAGUUCGGUAGGGGAGACUGGAAUUCCUGGUGUAGCGGUGAAAUGCGCAGAUAUCAGGAGGAACACCGGUGGCGAAGGCGGGUCUCUGGGCCGAAACUGACGCUGAGGCGCGAAAGCUAGGGGAGCGAACGGG
rnacentral:rRNA from 1 species